ACUGCUGCAGUAUCACAAUAGGUUACCAAAAGCAGUGUCAAUAAUUUUAUUCUUUGAAUGAGAUUAGUUAAACAAGUCGGCUUUCCAAUUCAAGAUAUUGGUUUCAAAAUUGAACACCAUUGGCAAAAUGCUAACAAAACUAGGCUAUGCUUGGCUCCUCGGUGCUGUAAAUGGUGGCUUCAACUUUGUUUUUUUAA
rnacentral:lncRNA from 1 species